CAUACUUUUUACAGGUAUAUAAACACAGCAAAUAUUGCUUUUAAAUACAUAUGGGAGGAUAAUUGGAGCUUGUCUGGAAAAUGGGAACCACUGGAUACUUUUUGUGAGUUACAUUUAUAGAUACUUUAUUGACCCUGAAGGAAAUGCAUAUCCUAGCUUGUAGAACAAAAAGAUAAAUACACUCCAACAUAGUAUAGUAACUCUGUCACAGAUAGAACUGUAAUCUACCUCUCUGCUUAGAGCUUCUUAAAAGCUUGAUUUUAAGGUUUGUGUGGAUGUGAUUUUGAUUAUUUUUUGUUCCAAACCGCAACCCAUUUAUAAUUGUAUAGACUUUUGCCAGAAGCAGACAAAUAUCCAAUAAAAUGUAAUGGAAUCAUUGUUGUCUGGAAGAAAUGUACAGCAGAGGCAUUUCUUUGUCUUAAAGGUAAAACAAUGUAAAGGCAAAAUGUACAACACGGUCCUUCAAGUCCAAUAUAUUAAGGUAUAUUACCUGUACCACAAAUGUUUAUACUACUUCCACUUUCUUUGAGAAAAGGAGCAUAUUCAUCCAUCUUAUUAUUUUAUUCUGUAUUCAGUGCACUAUUUACUCUAGUAUAAAGUCUAUAUGAACUGUGGUUUAAACAGCAGAUUAAAUGUAGGAAAUGUUUUAAAACAAAAGCUUCCUUCCACAUUGAAUAUUAAAACAUUAUCUAUCUUUCUUUUUAGUUUUAUGACAUUACACAGAGAAGAAUCAUUUACAUGAAUUCUAUGGGAGAGGAUAGAAAGACAGUUUUGAAAAACUGGAGGUGACGAAUACAAUUAUAUGCAUUAUAUUGCCAAAAGUAUCCAUUAUCCUGCAUUGCAUUUGGUGAUUGAAUGGAGCUGCUUGGUCAGGGAAACGCAUUCCAUGAAUUUCUCUGCUCUCUACUGUUCUUAAUCUAAUCUGAAUAAAGCUUUGCUUUCUUCACCUGUGGUCUGUGUGAAGUGAUAUAAUGAUUCUAGUUUCUUAUGUCUAUCUGUUUAGUUAACACAGUGUAAUUUUUUAGCUUAUUUGCAUCAGCCAGAGGUUGCAAAGACAACUGGACAAUCUUCAGUGUCAAACAUCCACAACAGCAAGAUGGACACUCGUAUGGAGUACACGUGGUACAAUCAAUAAUUCUACUUUAUUCAUUUGUAUUUGAUGUAUUUCCUGUGUUCUAACAAUUGCAACUUUAACAGAAUUUUGUUUUCUUGCCUGAGAGCCUUCACGUUUUAAAUUUUUUUCUUUAGUCGUACGUUAACAUGACUGUUCUAUGUUUCUCUAAUACAUUGGUGCUGAUUUCUUCACAACGGAAUAAAAUAUUAAAAAUUGUUUGGGGGAAACCACACAACCAAAAGUAAAUACAGAAAAAUCUGUCCAACAAUAUUAAAGACACUGUAUCUGCAAUGUUUACUCACUUUAUUAAGAAUUUCUCAUUAAUCAUGCUUGUUUUUUAUUGAUACAGUUUGCAGAAAACAUUCUUGAAGGAAAAAGCUGUGUAGACCAAUAUGGAGUUUUAGGUAUGUGUGUGAGAGUGAGUGUGAUACAGAUUAAAAUCUAGACAUAUUCUAUAUUUUUGUACAGAUCGCACUCAGAAGAGCUCCAGUUCCUGGGACCCAUUGACUGCAAAAGAUAAGGUGCAGUGCCAGAAGUGUAAGGCUUGCUACUACACAGAUGUUCGAAUACGGCAUGUGGCAUCUGUGCUGUAUGUGAAAGUAGGUAAUAUGUAGUGAGUACAUUACCUGUCAAAGGUAGCUUAACAAGUACAUUGGUAGGCCAUUUAGCUACAGAGUAUUUUUGUGAUAAUGAUAUUCUUGGUGACAAUAACCAAAAUGUUUAGUUUAAUUUAAUUUAAAUAAUAACUUCUUAAAAAAAAAUAAAAAAUGUUUUUUUUAUAGUAUAAGACACACACACAGUUCUGGGAAAAAAAAUCAAGAUUGAUCACAAGCAAUCAAACCAAACUGAACUGCUUGAAUUUUUGCACCAGGAGUGGCCUAAAGUUAUCCAAAAGCAGUGUGUAAGACCGGUGGAGGAGAGCAUGAUGCCAAGAUGCAUGAAAACUGAUUAAAAACCAGGGUUAUUCCACCAAAUAGAUUUUUUUAGGUCUAUAAGCUCUGCAUCUUUUUAUUUCAGCCAUUUCUUUUCUGCAGAUAAAUGCUCUAAAUGACUUUUUUUUUUGUAAUUUGGGAGAUAUUGCUGUAGUUUCUAGAAUAAAACAUAUCUAUAAAAAGCAAAAUCAGAGAAACGGAUUCAGAAACUGAAGUGGUGUAUUAAUCAUUUCCAGAGCUCGCUCUGUGUGUGUGUCUCUUUCUCUCUACAUAAUUUGGAAUAUUAGACCAUGUUAGCCCUUAUAAAUCAGACCAUCCCUGUAUUAAUGGGUAAGAGUGAGAUGUUAGCCUAGUGCUUUGUUUUUUUAGUUGCAGUAUUCUUUUACCAAUGUCUAACUUUUUUUCCCCAUGGUCAUUUAAAUGUGUGUAAUAAAAAAAGGUGUCUUAUUCCAGUUUGUUCUUUUAAUAAAACGUUGCUUAAAGAA